AAUUAGUCCUGUGUAUUUAAGUCCGCGUUAAAAUAUAUUUCCCCAGUCCAGUCAUUUUAUGUAGAGUGGUGUGUUUUCCUAAUUAAACCCCGUAUUCUCUCGUUUCCUCGACUCUUGUUCCUGCUUCCCCGGUCCGUGCCCCGGCGAUCACGACAGAGAGCCGAAAACAGACAGGUUCCAUUGAACUUAGCCAGGAAAACGUAGCCAGGUUACACAGGUCCUAUUGAACCAGUUUCAGAAUGUAUUCACUGGGGAGAUUUCUAAGCACUUAUUGGAGGACAGGUCAAGCGACAUGCUAAAGGUCUCUGGGUCGAAGGUCCCUGGGCCCAAAGUUUACCUUGACACUGGGGCAGCAGAACUGACCACCCACAUCCAGCCUUGAGCAGAACAUACAAGAUCACGCUGG